rnacentral:lncRNA from 1 species
GAGUUUUCAAAGGAAAUGGCGGCAAGUAGUAAUUCGUUGUCCAGUUUGCUACGGGAUGUGGCAGAUCAGCUGGAGAGUUCUGAAGUUGCAAGACUAUUUACGCCUUACAACAGAGGAAGAGGACUUGCAAGACGAACAAGCUUGCCUGUGAUGAGUCGUGCAGUAUCCUGCAGCUUUACGCAUAACUUCUGCUGUCUUGAUGACAAAAAUGCAGAUUUAGUACCCAGUCGCUGUGCAAAAGACAGAUUGUUCUCUGCUGGGUUAGGGGAGAAACGUGUCACCUUUCGAGGAUGCCAUGCAGAUCCCCAAAAAUUUAAGGAUGUCAUCGUGGAGGCUUUUCCAAAACUCAGACAAGGUGGUGGGUUUGAGUUGCUAAAAAUAUCUGGAAAUACAAGGAGCCG